rnacentral:tRNA from 1 species
GCCUUCGUGAUGUAGUGGUCAGCAUGCUCGACUCAUAUUCGAGAGGUCCUUGGUUCGAAUCCCGGCUAGGGCA